GAGUCAUCUAAAGAUGAGAAUUUACAGGAUGCCAUCUCUUCUUACUAAGAGUGAUCGAUCUUUGUUGACUGACUCACAAUCUUCAUACACACUACACUAUAUCUAGAAUAUCCCAUACAUGUCUUAAUACCAUACUUGGAUAUGAACCAAAAUAUGGAUUCAUGUGCACAAGAUUCAUAAUGAUCUCACAUCUAAGAAUUAUUUGCACAACUCCUACUUAGAGAACCAUCUUUUGACAUGCAAGUAAGGCUCUAUAAUAUGUUCUCCAUCGAUGAGUCAAUUUAGUAAACUCAUUCUCCAAUGAGUACCUACAUUCUUGUAUUAGUGUCUCACAUCAGUGGUAUGUGAAAAUAACCACCUUCUCUAUUGAGCAUGCAUAGGAUGUGUCAGUCUUUUUGAAAUAUUGAUCUCCGAUUCAAUAUUUCUAUGACUAGAAAUAUUUAAGAUUAAGAUUUUAAGAUUUUAGAUUUUAUAGGCAUGAACUCUUCAUGAUCCUAAAAUCAUUAUCCUAAUCCAUGGGGUUCAUUAUAACGUUAUACACAAUAAGAUGUAGCUACA
rnacentral:lncRNA from 1 species